rnacentral:rRNA from 1 species
CAAUAGCGUAUAUUAAAGUUGUUGCAGUUAAAAAGCUCGUAGUUGGAUUUGUGGCGUACGGUAGGUUCCGGGCACUUGUUGUCUGAGUAACUUGCUGUUGCCAUCCUUGGGUGGAACCUGUGUGGCAUUAGGUUGUCGUGCAGGGGAUGCCCAUCAUUUACUGUGAAAAAAUUAGAGUGUUCAAAGCAGGCUUAUGCCGUUGAAUAUAUUAGCAUGGAAUAAUGAGAUAGGACUUUUUUGCUAUUUUGUUGGUUUGCGCAAAGAGGUAAUGAUUAAUAGGGACAGUUGGGGGUAUUCGUAUUCCAUUGUCAGAGGUGAAAUUCUUGGAUUUUUGGAAGACGAACUACUGCGAAAGCAUUUACCAAGGAUGUUUUCAUUAA